rnacentral:rRNA from 1 species
UACGUAGGGGGCAAGCGUUGUCCGGAUUUAUUGGGCGUAAAGAGCGUGUAGGCGGUCUGGUAGGUCCGUUGUGAAAACUCGAGGCUCAACCUCGAGACGCCGAUGGAAACCAUCAGACUAGAGUCCGGAAGAGGAGAGUGGAAUUCCUGGUGUGGCGGUGAAAUGCGCAGAUAUCAGGAAGAACACCCGUGGCUAAGGCGGCUCUCUAGUACGGUACUGACGCUGAGACGCGAAAGCGUGGGGAGCGAACAGG